rnacentral:rRNA from 1 species
UUACUUGGAUAACUGUGGUAAUUCUAGAGCUAAUACAUGCAAACAGAACUCCGACCAGAGAUGGAAGGAGUGCUUUUAUUAGAUCAAAACCAAUCGGUGGCGGGCUUGCUCGUCAUCGUACAACUUGGUGACUCUGAAUAACUUUACGCUGAUCGCACGGUCUUAGCACCGGCGACGCAUCUUUCAAAUGUCUGCCUUAUCAACUGUCGAUGGUAGGUUCUGCGCCUACCAUGGUUGUAACGGGUAACGGGGAAUCAGGGUUCGAUUCCGGAGAGGGAGCCUGAGAAACGGCUACCACAUCCAAGGAAGGCAGCAGGCGCGCAAAUUACCCACUCCCGGCACGGGGAGGUAGUGACGAAAAAUAACGAUACGGGACUCAUCCGAGGCCCCGUAAUCGGAAUGAGUACACUCUAAACCCUUUAACGAGGAUCAAUUGGAGGGCAAGUCUGGUGCCAGCAGCCGCGGUAAUUCCAGCUCCAAUAGCGUAUAUUAAAGUUGUUGCGGUUAAAAAGCUCGUAGUCGAAUUUGUGUCUCUUGCCGCCGGUUUAUCGUUCGCGGUAUUACUGGCGAGUCACGAGACGUCCUGCCGGUGGGCUUAGCUCGCAAGGGCGGCCCAACUCAAUCCUGCCGCGGUGCUCUUCAUUGAGUGUCGAGGUGGGCCGGCACGUUUACUUUGAACAAAUUAGAGUGCUUAAAGCAGGCUAAAACUUCGCCUGAAUACUGUGUGCAUGGAAUAAUGGAAUAGGACCUCGGUUCUAUUUUGUUGGUUUUCGGAACCCCGAGGUAAUGAUUAAUAGGAACGGAUGGGGGCAUUCGUAUUGCGACGUUAGAGGUGAAAUUCUUGGAUCGUCGCAAGACGGACAGAAGCGAAAGCAUUUGCCAAAAACGCUUUCAUUGAUCAAGAACGAAAGUUAGAGGUUCGAAGGCGAUCAGAUACCGCCCUAGUUCUAACCUUAAACGAUGCCAGCUAGCGAUCCGUCGACGUUCCUCCGAUGACUCGACGGGCAGCUUCCGGGAAACCAAAGCUUUUGGGUUCCGGGGGAAGUAUGGUUGCAAAGCUGAAACUUAAAGGAAUUGACGGAAGGGCACCACCAGGAGUGGAGCCUGCGGCUUAAUUUGACUCAACACGGGAAAUCUCACCAGGCCCGGACACCGGAAGGAUUGACAGAUUGAGAGCUCUUUCUUGAUUCGGUGGGUGGUGGUGCAUGGUCGUUCUUAGUUGGUGGAGCGAUUUGUCUGGUUAAUUCCGAUAACGAACGAGACUCUAGCCUGCUAAAUAGGCGUAUUUUGACAUCCUAAAGGCCCGCCGGCUUGGGGUUCGCUCCUUGUCGUGCGCGGUUUUUACUGUCGGCGUACAAACAAUUCUUCUUAGAGGGACAGGUGGCUUCUAGUCGCACGAGAUUGAGCAAUAACAGAUCUGUAAUGCCCUUAGAUGUUCUGGGCCGCACGCGCGCUACACUGAAGGAAUCAGCGUGUCCUCCCUGGCCGAGUGGCCCGGGUAACCCGCUGAACCUCCUUCGUGCUAGG